rnacentral:tRNA from 1 species
AAGAAGUUAGUUUAAACAAAACAUUAGACUGUCAGACUAAAAAUAUUACAAUUAAUACUUCUUA